AUAAAUUUUAUAUUAAAAAACUAUUUAAAACAUCAACUAAACGUUGACUGCAGUGACAUCUGGGUUGACAUGGCGAAUACAUAUAUGACGUUAAAA
rnacentral:sRNA from 1 species